UACAGAGGGGGCAAGCGUUGUUCGGAAUUACUGGGCGUAAAGGGCGCGUAGGCGGCCUUCUAAGUCGAACGUGAAAUCCCUGGGCUCAACCCAGGAACUGCGUCCGAUACUGGAAGGCUUGAAUCCGGGAGAGGGAUGCGGAAUUCCAGGUGUAGCGGUGAAAUGCGUAGAUAUCUGGAGGAACACCUGUGGUGUAGACAGCUUACUGGACCAUUUCUGACGCUGAGACACGAAAGCGUGGGUAGCAAACAGG
rnacentral:rRNA from 1 species